AUACGGAGGAUCCGAGCGUUAUCCGGAUUUAUUGGGUUUAAAGGGUGCGCAGGCGGCCAUUUAAGUCAGCGGUUAAAUCGUGGGGCUCAACCCCAUUCUGCCGUUGAUACUGGGUGGCUUGAUUGCGGUCGAGGUUGGCGGAGUUCGUUGUGUAGCGGGGAAAUGCAUAGAUAUGACGAAGAACACCGAUUGCGUAGGCAGCUGACCAGACCGCAAAUGACGCUCAUGCACGAAAGUGCGGGGAUCGAACAGGAUUAGAUGCCCUGGUAGUCCGCACAGUAAACGAUGAAUACUUGUUUUCGGCGAUAUAAUGUCGGAGGCAAAGCGAAAGCGAUAAGUAUUCCACCUGGGGAGUACGCCGGCAACGGUGAAACUCAAAGGAAUUGACGGGG
rnacentral:rRNA from 1 species